AUGAACGCUGGCGGCGUGCCUAAUACAUGCAAGUCGAGCGCACGGACGAGAAGCUUGCUUCUCUGAUGUUAGCGGCGGCCGGGUGAGUAACACGUGGAUAACCUACCUAUAAGACUGGGAUAACUUCGGGAAACCGGAGCUAAUACCGGAUGAUAUUUUGAACCGCAUGGUUCAAAAGUGAAAGACGGUCUUGCUGUCACUUAUAGAUGGAUCCGCGCUGCAUUAGCUAGUUGGUAAGGUAACGGCUUACCAAGGCAACGAUGCAUAGCCGACCUGAGAGGGUGAUCGGCCACACUGGAACUGAGACACGGUCCAGACUCCUACGGGAGGCAGCAGUAGGGAAUCUUCCGCAAUGGGCGAAAGCCUGACGGAGCAACGCCGCGUGAGUGAUGAAGGUCUUCGGAUCGUAAAACUCUGUUAUUAGGGAAGAACAUAUGUGUAAGUAACUGUGCACAUCUUGACGGUACCUAAUCAGAAAGCCACGGCUAACUACGUG
rnacentral:rRNA from 1 species